rnacentral:tRNA from 1 species
UGUUUUCAUAGUUAAAUGGAUAUAACAAGCGCCUCCUAAGCGCUAGUUGGGGGUUCGAUUCCCCCUGAGAACAG